rnacentral:rRNA from 1 species
UACGGUAGGGUGCAAGCGUUGUCCGGAAUUAUUGGGCGUAAAGGGCCAGUAGGCGGCCAACUAAGUCCGACGUGAAAUCCCAAGGCUUAACCUUGGAACUGCGUCGGAUACUGGAUGGCUUGAAUUCGGGAGAGGGAUGCAGAAUUCCAGGUGUAGCGGUGAAAUGCGUAGAUAUCUGGAGGAACACCGGUGGCGAAGGCGGGUCUCUGGGCCGAUACUGACGCUGAGGAGCGAAAGCGUGGGGAGCGAACAGG